AGCGAACGCUGGCGGCAGGCCUAACACAUGCAAGUCGAACGAACCCUUCGGGGUUAGUGGCGGACGGGUGAGUAACACGUGGGAACGUGCCUUUAGGUUCGGAAUAACUCAGGGAAACUUGUGCUAAUACCGAAUGUGCCCUUCGGGGGAAAGAUUUAUCGCCUUUAGAGCGGCCCGCGUCUGAUUAGCUAGUUGGUGAGGUAAAGGCUCACCAAGGCUACGAUCAGUAGCUGGUCUGAGAGGAUGACCAGCCACAUUGGGACUGAGACACGGCCCAAACUCCUACGGGAGGCAGCAGAGGGGAAUCUUGCGCAGUGGGCGAAAGCCUGACGCAGCCAUGCCGCGUGGAUGAUGAAGGUCUUAGGAUUGUAAAAUCCUUUCACCGGUGAAGAUAAUGACUGUAGCCGGAGAAGAAGCCCCGGCUAACUUCGUGCCAGCAGCCGCAGUAACAC
rnacentral:rRNA from 1 species